GUCUACGGCCAUGCCACCCUGAACAAGCCCGAUGUCUGAUCUCGGAAGCUAAGCAGGGUUGGGCCUGGUUAGUACUUGGAUGGGAGACCACCUAGGAAGACCAGGUGCUGUAGGCA
rnacentral:rRNA from 1 species